UCCCUGGUCCCACUUAGCUCAGUCGGUAGAGCAUGAGACUCUUAAUCUCAGGGUUGGGGGUUCGAGCCCUACUCUGGGCA